ensembl:lncRNA
CGAGCCCGCACCGCCCCGGUGCGCCGGGCCGCGCCGACCCUCCCGGGACGCGGCCGCAACACGUGGAGCGAACUUUUGAGGGACGCGUGUCUGCGCCGGACGGGAGCCCCGCCGCCCGGGACCGCAACGCUGCACGGAGCAGCUCGUCUCUCUCCGGAGCAUUUCACCUGCUUUUCUUAAAGCUGAAUUCUUUAUAAAGGAGAAGUGACUAGAAACCCUGAGCUGAGUUCCAGGUCUGGCUUAACUUUGUAAGGCACACUGACACACUGAGGCUGCUCCACUUAAGCCUCUGCAGCUGCUGUGUAAGCAAGUCCUAAAGGACAAGCCCUGUCCCAGUGACAGCGUGACAGACAAGACAGACAAUGGGCACAAGGAAGGCACUGCUGUCAAUGAAGGAUGGAUUCUGUUCAGCCCACAGGGAACAAAGAAACCUGGGCUGCUCAAGGCCCCACAGACCUGUCCAGGAGUGUCCUUUGUGCCAGCUGAUUCCAGGAAUGUGACACUUUUGGAACUGUUUGUGUCAGGACCUCCUGCUUUGACACCUGGGAUUUCUGAGACUGCCUCAUCAUAGGAAACCCCAGAUCUGCUGCUCCUCUCCACAAGGACUUCUGAAUACAGCAACUCUCCUGUCUUCUUUGGAUACUGAAACGAGAUGAAAGGGCUUGAAUGUUUCCUUGGCAAGAUGGGUGGAUGGAAUUGGUUUAAUCUGUUCUGAUUCUGACACCUACAAGUCAACUGACCCAAUCACCUCUUCUGUUGCAAAGCAACACUCUACUACUGUGGAAUAUUCUUUGUGAUGAAAGCAGGAGGAUCGGGAAUGGGGGUUUGUAACUUUUUUGGAUGAGUUUCUGUUACAAUUUUUAUCUUUAGUAUCAACACUUUAAAUAAGGAUAUUUAUAUGUUAAAAUAAACACAUUUUUUGCCCUGAAAUAUUGGAAUAC